GACAGAGGGGGCUAGUGUUAUUCGGAAUGACUGGGCGUAAAGGGCACGUAGGCGGUGAAUUAAGUUGAAAGCGAAAUCCCAAAGCUUAACUUUGGAACUGUUUUCAAAACUGAUUCGCUUGAGUUCGAUAGGGGAUAGUGGAAUUUCUAGUGUAGAAAUAAAAUUCUUAAAUAUUAGAAGGAACACCAGUGGCGAAGGCGACUAUCUGGAUCGAUACUGACGCUGAGGUGCGAAAGCAUGGGGAGCAAAUAGG
rnacentral:rRNA from 1 species